GACGAACGCUGGCGGCAUGCCUAAUACAUGCAAGUCGAGCGAACAGAUGAAGUGCUUGCACUUCUGACGUUAGCGGCGAAUGGGUGAGUAACACGUAAGGAAUCUACCUAUAAGCGGGGGAUAACAUUCGGAAACGGGUGCUAAUACCGCAUAAUAUCUUCUUCCGCAUGGAAGAAGAUUGAAAGACGGCUCUGCUGUCACUUAUAGAUGACCUUGCGGUGCAUUAGUUAGUUGGUGGGGUAAUGGCCUACCAAGACAAUGAUGCAUAACCGACCUGAGAGGGUGAUCGGCCACAUUGGGACUGAGACACGGCCCAAACUCCUACGGGAGGCAGCAGUAGGGAAUCUUCCGCAAUGGGCGAAAGCCUGACGGAGCAAUGCCGCGUGAGUGAAGAAGGCCUUCGGGUCGUAAAACUCUGUUAUAAGAGAAGAACAAAUUGUAGAGUAACUGCUACAGUCUUGACGGUAUCUUAUCAGAAAGCCACGGCUAACUACGUGCCAGCCGCCGCGGUAA
rnacentral:rRNA from 1 species